rnacentral:rRNA from 1 species
AGGUCGAGCCUGCCCGGUGACUAUAUGUUUAACGGCCGCGGUAUUUUAACCGUGCAAAGGUAGCGCAAUCACUUGUCUUUUAAAUGAAGACCUGUAUGAAUGGUAUUACGAGGGCUUAACUGUCUCCUUUUUCAAGUCAGUGAAAUUGAUCUCCCCGUGCAGAAGCGGGGAUAGAACCAUAAGACGAGAAGACCCUAUGGAGCUUUAGACACUAAAGCAAAUCAAGUUAAACACCCCUAAACAAAGGACUAAACCUAUUGAACUCUUGCCCGUAUGUCUUCGGUUGGGGCGACCAUGGGGAAACAAAAAACCCCCACGUGGAACGGGAGCACAACUACUCCUACAGCUGAGAGCUGCCGCUCUAAUAAGCAGAACUUCUGACCAAUAACUGAUCCGGCAACGCCGAUCAACGGACCAAGUUACCCUAGGGAUAACAGCGCAAUCCCCUUUUAGAGCCCCUAUCGACAAGGGGGUUUACGACCUCGAUGUUGGAUCAGGACAUCCCAAUGGUGCAGCCGCUAUUGAAGGUUCGUUUGUUCAACGAUUAAAGUCCUACGUGAU